GCGUCAGUAGUGUAACGAAUAGAGCACGCAUUCCUCGAAAGAUUGAGGUUCGGGUUCUAGUCCCGCCUGAGGCG